rnacentral:tRNA from 1 species
GCCGCCAUCGUCUAGCCUGGUUUAGGACAUCAGGUUUUCAACCUGACGGCACCGGUUCAAAUCCGGUUGGCGGCACCA